rnacentral:lncRNA from 1 species
CUCCCAGCGGGAAGCCCAGCUCAGGGGUCAGGGUCUGGCUGGCACUGGCUGGCACCCCACCAGGUAAAUGUCCGGGUGUCUUCCGCGUGUCUUCCGGGUGUCAGUGGCCCCAGGAGCAGAGGACGCGUCCAGGCUGGGGAGGGAUAUAUUAAAGCCAUCAACACAUGGGGGUGAGUGAGGAGCCAGCGGGACGUUGGCCUUGUGUUAAGCCUUCAGAAAAGCGAUUGAGUGGAGAUGAACUAUGUCUGCGAAAGCUUCAUGUCCCCAGCCUUUCUGUGCCGGAGGUGUUUUAUCCCAGACGAGUCUCACUUGGUUCAGGUGCCUGUCCUUGUUUUCUUGGCGAUCGCCAUUUGGUUCGCAUCUCCCCGUCACUCCCGACAUGGAAACCGACUUCACCACUUGUGAAUCUUCCCACGGACCAGGAUGCUGUGAAGUGAAACUUUCUGACACGCUGUCGCUGCCCACAACCCUCUAGUUCACGCCAACACGGCAAGUAUGAGAGAGAAAAGCCAGGGACCCUGGCAACCCAGCCUCCUGUCACCUGGGCCCACACCGUACACGUAAGCUUAGACAUUC